CCCCUCUCAGGGUCGCACUUGGAGAGUUUCCAAUACUCUACCAAUCUUGGCUGUGAGAGGGAGAGUCAAGCAGAGGCCUACCCAUUCCAUUCCCGGCUUGGACAGUGGCUAUCAAAUGGAAGGCUAUCUGCUACAAGU